rnacentral:lncRNA from 1 species
CUAAGUAGGAUGUUGCUAAUGGGUUUCUUUUUCCUUUUUUAAGCAUCAAGAUGCCCUCACUUGGACUACAUUCAGAAAUUAUAACAGAAUUAUAAUGAAUUACAACAGCCACAUUUUCAUUUUAAUGCAAACAAAAUGCACUAUGUGUUAAGUGGAUGUGGAAAGCUGCAAACCCUUGACAUGGACGAUUAUAUCCAGGCUACAGCAGACCACAUCUUGGCCCAGCUUUUCUUCAGGCAGCAAAAUGAAUUUAACAAGAGUCCCCAGUUUUAGUAGGACCAGAUAAUCAACCUGCCUUAGAGUUGCUGGACACACCAUCCUGGGCUUUGUUUUCUUCUCUGGUGCAAAAGAAAGAAGAUGAAGUCAUAGAAAAAUCUCAGCUCAUUCAUUAUACACAUUGCUGUUCUAGAGCCUCAUCUGCAUGAGAAAACUCUGUUAUGACCAAUGGUUAUUCUUGAGUAACGUGUUCAUACAGCUUUCUCAGAAUCGGAGAUGUCUUACAUGGAGAACUUUUAAUGGAUUAAAAAAACUCAUAAACUUGGAAUGUUG